rnacentral:rRNA from 1 species
GACGAACGCUGGCGGCGUGCCUAAUACAUGCAAGUAGAACGCACAGUUUAUACCGUAGCUUGCUACACCAUAGACUGUGAGUUGCGAACGGGUGAGUAACGCGUAGGUAACCCGCCUGGUAGCGGGGGAUAACUAUUGGAAACGAUAGCUAAUACCGCAUAAUAUUGAUUAUUGCAUGAUAAUUGAUUGAAAGAUGCUAUUGCAUCACUACCAGAUGGACCUGCGUUGUAUUAGCUAGUAGGUGAGGUAACGGCUCACCUAGGCGACGAUACAUAGCCGACCUGGGAGGGUGGUCGGCCACACUGGGACUGAGACACGGCCCAGACUCCUACGGGAGGCAGCAGUAGGGAAUCUUCGGCAAUGGACGAAAGUCUGACCGAGCAACGCCGCGUGAGUGAAGAAGGUUUUCGGAUCGUAAAGCUCUGUUGUAAGAGAAGAACGGGUGUGAGAGUGGAAAGUUCACACUGUGACGGUAGCUUACCAGAAAGGGACGGCUAACUACGUG